rnacentral:rRNA from 1 species
AUGGCGGAGCGCAUCAGCGAGGCAAGUUGCAGCAAGGUCAGAAUGAUCUGCAGCUGGCGAGCUAAUGGAAAAACGGCCAUGGAAUCACGCACGGCAUAUCAAACGGACACGCGAGAUGCUAGUCAGAAGGGCGCUAUUCUGAAGGUUGGUCAACCAUAUGAUACAAUUUCAUCACGGCCAUGUGUAUCACAAUUUAAAAAACCUGCCUCCCAUCCGCGAGGUCCUCCAUGUUUUUCUUCUUCUUCUUCUUCUUCUUCUUCUUCUUCUUUCUUUGCGGCACCGACGCCCCCCCAUGUCUGUGCACCCCUGUCCCCAGCUUGCGUUUUCCAGGUUAAUUUAAUGUCGUUUUCCGUUGAAUUCUUUGGCGAUUCUUUGCUUGCCAUGCCGGGAGACAGCAAAAAGAUGAGGGUGCGAGUCAUUGUAUAUCCAGGCAGAGAUUCAAAGUUCCCAGUUAUUAUCUUCUCCAAGAUGAUCUCGGGGAAAUAA